rnacentral:rRNA from 1 species
GACGAACGCUGGCGGCGUGCUUAACACAUGCAAGUCGAGCGGAAAGGCCCUUCGGGGUACUCGAGCGGCGAACGGGUGAGUAACACGUGAGUAACCUGCCCUAGGCUUUGGGAUAACCCCGGGAAACCGGGGCUAAUACCGGAUAUGACCUGGUGCCGCAUGGUGUUGGGUGGAAAGUUUUUUCGGCCUGGGAUGGGCUCGCGGCCUAUCAGCUUGUUGGUGGGGCGAUGGCCUACCAAGGCGAUGACGGGUAGCCGGCCUGAGAGGGCGACCGGCCACACUGGGACUGAGACACGGCCCAGACUCCUACGGGAGGCAGCAGUGGGGAAUAUUGCACAAUGGGCGGAAGCCUGAUGCAGCGACGCCGUGUGAGGGAUGAAGGCCUUCGGGUUGUAAACCUCUUUCAGCAGGGACGAAGCGUGAGUGACGGUACCUGCAGAAGAAGCGCCGGCCAACUACGUG